AAGUCGUAACAAGGUAACCGUAGGUGAACCUGCGGUUGGAUCAUUAGAAAUUUUAAAAACAUUUUUAAUGUUGUUGUACUGUGGAAUUCUUUUUUAGGAUUCCCAGUGCUAACUUUUCGUGCACAACCGAGUUUUGUAUGUGAUUUUGUCUUCGGAUAUAUCACUGCAUACUUACACCUUUUUAUUAUUGUAGAGUUACUUUUUUUUAUUUUCUAUUUAAUUAGAGAAAAAACAA
rnacentral:misc_RNA from 1 species